GUAGCUUCCGCCGGUCAGGACUAUAAAGUCUCAAACAAUGCCAACGCAAAGUACACGCAAAAAACUCACAAACAAGCUAGCCUUAUAAACGGAUCCUGUUGAUGCGGUUGAAUCAUGUCUGGCCUUCUGCGCGGAAUGCUGAAAGUACGGUCAACUGUUGCUUCGAGGACACGUGCAAUCAACCAACGAGCAGAGUUAUCCAGUAAACCCCCUAAAGACAACAUCGGCGCUGCAGAAACCGCUUUCGUCAUGACUAUUUUUGCGGUGGCCAUACUUGGACCAUCCGGUUGGAUCCUCGCCAAUGUUCAGAACUACCAGCAGCGCUGAACUGUUUCUCGACCACGGUUCUUGGAUCAUAAGUCAACUGCUGCAUUCCUUUUUCUGGCCUAUGAUGCUUGAACUGAAGUCACAAUUACCUUUUGACAUUUUAUCUCAAUAAAAACAUGUAAUCUAG